rnacentral:rRNA from 1 species
UACGAAGGGGGCUAGCGUUGCUCGGAAUCACUGGGCGUAAAGCGCACGUAGGCGGAUUGCUAAGUCAGGGGGUGAAAUCCUGGAGCUCAACUCCAGAACUGCCUUUGAUACUGGCGAUCUUGAGUCCGGGAGAGGUGAGUGGAACUGCGAGUGUAGAGGUGAAAUUCGUAGAUAUUCGCAAGAACACCAGUGGCGAAGGCGGCUCACUGGCCCGGUACUGACGCUGAGUGCGAAAGCG